GAUCCGAUAGUGUAGUGGUACCACGCGUCCUUCGGGUGGACGAAGCCUGGGUUCGAAUCCCGGUCGGGUCC
rnacentral:tRNA from 1 species